rnacentral:rRNA from 1 species
CCCUUAGAUGCUCUGGGCCGCACGCGCGCUACACUGGUCGAUGCAACGAGUUUCUUUCCUUGGCCGACAGGCCUGGGCAAUCUUUGAACAUCGAUCGUGAUCGGGAUAGAUUCUUGUAAUUUUUGAUCUUAAACGAGGAAUUCCUAGUGAACGCAAGUCAUCAGCUUGCAUUGAUUACGUCCCUGCCCUUUGUACACACCGCCCGUCGCACCUACCGAUUGAAUGGUCCGGUGAAAUCUCCGGACUGGCGUGAGUCGGAGCAAUCUGACAAACACCGGAAAGUUGAUUAAACCUUACCAUUUAGAGGAAGGUGAAGUCGUAACA